rnacentral:rRNA from 1 species
AGAGUUUGAUCCUGGCUCAGGAUGAACGCUGGCGGCGUGCCUAAUACAUGCAAGUCGAACGCUUCACUUCGGUGAAGAGUGGCGAACGGGUGAGUAAUACAUAAGUAACCUGGCAUCUACAGGGGGAUAACUGAUGGAAACGUCAGCUAAGACCGCAUAGGUGUAGAGAUCGCAUGAACUCUAUAUGAAAAGUGCUACGGGACUGGUAGAUGAUGGACUUAUGGCGCAUUAGCUGGUUGGUAGGGUAACGGCCUACCAAGGCGACGAUGCGUAGCCGACCUGAGAGGGUGACCGGCCACACUGGGACUGAGACACGGCCCAGACUCCUACGGGAGGCAGCAGUAGGGAAUUUUCGGCAAUGGGGGAAACCCUGACCGAGCAACGCCGCGUGAAGGAAGAAGUAAUUCGUUAUGUAAACUUCUGUCAUAGAGGAAGAACGGUGGAUAUAGGGAAUGAUAUCCAAGUGACGGUACUCUAUAAGAAAGCCACGGCUAACUACGUGCCAGCAGCCGCGGUAAUACGUAGGUGGCGAGCGUUAUCCGGAAUUAUUGGGCGUAAAGAGGGAGCAGGCGGCACUAAGGGUCUGUGGUGAAAGAUCGAAGCUUAACUUCGGUAAGCCAUGGAAACCGUAGAGCUAGAGUGUGUGAGAGGAUCGUGGAAUUCCAUGUGUAGCGGUGAAAUGCGUAGAUAUAUGGAGGAACACCAGUGGCGAAGGCGACGAUCUGGCGCAUAACUGACGCUCAGUCCCGAAAGCGUGGGGAGCAAAUAGGAUUAGAUACCCUAGUAGUCCACGCCGUAAACGAUGAGUACUAAGUGUUGGGUGUCAAAGCUCAGUGCUGCAGUUAACGCAAUAAGUACUCCGCCUGAGUAGUACGUUCGCAAGAAUGAAACUCAAAGGAAUUGACGGGGGCCCGCACAAGCGGUGGAGCAUGUGGUUUAA